UACUUGUACUUUCGUAUUAAUUUUAAUCUAAAAUACAUUCGUGCUGUUAGCUAAACAUGAAGAAAGAAGAUUAAAGAUUAGGUAAAGUAUAAAUUACAAUAGGCAUUGUUACGUACACCAGUUCUUUUCUAGAUGACAUCAGAGGUGUGACGUCACGAAGUGGUGAUGACGCAACAGAAGAACCCACUUCAACAUGGUAUGUGACGUCACAGAGGAUCAAGAGAACAAAGCGCGAAUCGUGGUUGAAGAAAAGUCAGCGUAUAUGCUGCUGAAGAAAAGCGCAAGACGAAGAGCAAAGACGAAGACGACGAUAAGGAUGCUGGUUUGAGGUUUUGCUUAGGCUUAGGAGUUGUGUGUUGUUGGGGUGUGGUUGCUGGAGCACUCUUACAGUGUUGCCGGAUUUGUGUUUGUGACUUGUAUUUGCUGGACCUUUUUGUCAGUCACUACUUUAGUGCAUUUUGCAUGUCACUGAAAUAUAUGCAAUGAAACUAUGGCAAACAUCUUGCUGGAUCGGAUUUUGUUGUUGUACACGUCAUUGUGUGCUUCUUCUGCAAAGGUCGAAUUUUUUAGCGAUUCUGUAAUGUUCUAAUCACUUGAUAAGAACGACAUGUUGGUACACAAAUACUUUAGUAAUAUCGACGCGCAUUAUAAUAUACACGCAGUUAUAAACUUGAUUCAAUUCCCCUUAAUUUUCAUUAAUUAAUUGUCCCCGUUUAAUCUGUUGCUAUUUUUAUGUAAAAGCCUAAUUGUGACGCUGGCCACGUUACAAUUACGCUACGUCAAUGGGUCUUUCAGGCCCAGCGUUCGGUGCGGUUACGUCACUGUUCUAGACUGAGUUACGUUACUGUUGGGUUGUUGCGUAGACGUCGCCGCCAGUGAUGCUACGCUAGAUUUAGGUCACUACCGGUACUGUGAUGCUACGCUCCCUCAUUUAGGUCACUACCGGUACAGUGAUGCUACGCUCGGUUAUUUAGGUCACUAUUAGUGUGGUUCGUAACAACCUGACGCAGUUUCAUGACGGUCGAAGCGGUGCUUAACAUCCGAACGAUAUUAUAUUGCGUGAAGAUACGACGAGAGUAUCGCGGUACCAACAUGGCGACUUAUCUUUUGAUUGGGGCAUGCAGAGCCGUUAUUAGCUUCGACUCCUUGUGGUCGGACAUAGAAUAAUUUGUACACUGCAGAUGAUUAUCCUUCAGGAUUUGAACCAUAUUUUCUUUGAAGAUGUUUCAAUGAUUAUGUCCGCGUUAAUUGUAACCGUCCAUUUUUGGAUACGAUUGAGCUGUUGUAUGUGUUGCAUGGUUUUUGCACUUUUUAGUUUCGCACCUCGUCGUAUUAUUUUUGUCUUUUUGUCGUUGUUGUCGUGCACAUGUGUAUGUGCAUUCGUUGUAUCAUUUUUGUCUAUUGGGGUUUCUUUAACCUGCGUGGACAGUAACAUCCCGCAAGGGUUUCUCACCUAAGUAGAAACCCACUACCAUUGGCUGGGGGC